UCUGAAUUUUUGUCAUUAUCCUUCUCUUCAGACUCAACAACUACACUGUCAUCAUUCUUAUUCUUCCGCCUUGUCUCCAUGCUCCUCAGAAGCUCCCCUAUCUCUGCCAUGGCUUUAGAAUCAUACUCACUGCAAUCAAAAGCUCCCCUAUCUCUGCCAUGGCUUUAGAAUCAUACCCAC